rnacentral:lncRNA from 1 species
GUUAUAGGUUGACUAGGACCCUCUUGUCUAGCUUGAAAUCCUCUAGAAAUUUUUCUUGAUGAAGGAGAAUCAUUCUUUAGAAAGUUUAAACUGAUCAAUCUUCGCCUAUAAAGUCAAAUUCAUGGUUUUAACCAUCACUACCAAGUUACUAGCCUUUUAUCAACAACCAGCAUCAGCAUUCGAGAUAUUAGCAGUAUCUCAUUCCCUUAUUCUUCAUUGGAGCUGAUGGAAUCUUUUGAACCUCUUCUAAGUGAGCCAUGUGUCUAACCUCUUGUUCGCAUGUUGUGACUUGUUAUUUGCUUAUUUUGUUCCCUACUCAUUAUUCCCCUUGUAAUAAUUAGGCAUUUAUUUAGGACAAGUGGGGAUGCCAACCCUACCUUCAUGCUUGAAGCAUUCAAUUUCCUCUAUUAUAACAUGAAGUUUUCUCCAAAAUAUCCUUGCUUUGCCAUCUAGCAAAUUCCAUAGAAAUGAAACAGUUCUGCUUUAUUUUUUGGAUACUCAAGAACUAGUGCAUGCUGUGU